rnacentral:rRNA from 1 species
GAUGAACGCUAGCUAUAGGCUUAACACAUGCAAGUCGAGGGGUAACAUGAUUAAAGCUUGCUUUAAUUGAUGACGACCGGCGGAUGGGUGAGUAACACGUAUCCAACCUACCGUAUACACGGGGAUAGCCUUUCGAAAGAAAGAUUAAUACCCGAUGGUGUAAUGAAAGCGCAUGCUUUUAUUGCUAAAGAUUUAUUGGUAUAUGAUGGGGAUGCGUUCCAUUAGAUAGUUGGUAGGGUAACGGCCUACCAAGUCAGCGAUGGAUAGGGGUUCUGAGAGGAAGACCCCCCACAUUGGAACUGAGACACGGUCCAAACUCCUACGGGAGGCAGCAGUGGGGGAAUAUUGCACAAUGGGGGAAACCCUGAUGCAGCGACGCCGUCGUGAACGAAGAAGUAUUUCGGUAUGUAAAGUUCUAUCAGCAGGGAAGAUAAUGACGGUACCUGACUAAGAAGCACCGGCUAAAUACGUG